rnacentral:rRNA from 1 species
UGGGGAAUAUUGCACCAUAGGCGCAAGCCUGAUUCAGCAACUGCGCGUGAACGAACAAGGUCUUCGGUUCGUAAGGGGCUGUUUCAGACCAGGAGACAAACGUGACACCCUGAUGAAUCCCCGGCUGACUACUUGCCAGCAGCCGCGGGAACACGUAGGUCGCAAGCGUUAUCCGGAAUUAUUGGGCGUAAAGAGCUUGUAGGCGGUUCGUCGCGUCUGGUGUGAAAGCCCAUCGCUUAACGGUGGGUUUGCGCCGGGUACGGGCGGGCUAGAGUGCAGUAGGGGAGACUGGAAUUCCCGGUGUAACGGUGGAAUGUGUAGAUAUCGGGAAGAACACCAAUGGCGAAGGCAGGUCUCUGGGCUGUUACGGACGCUGAGAAGCGAAAGCGUGGGGAGCGAACAGG